rnacentral:rRNA from 1 species
UACGUAGGGGGCAAGCGUUGUCCGGAUUUAUUGGGCGUAAAGAGCGUGUAGGCGGCCAUACAGGUCCGUUGUGAAAACUGGAGGCUUAACCUCCAGACGUCGAUGGAAACCAUCUGGCUAGAGUCCGGGAGAGGAGAGUGGAAUUCCUGGUGUAGCGGUGAAAUGCGCAGAUAUCAGGAAGAACACCCGUGGCGAAAGCGGCUCUCUGGAACGGUACUGACGCUGAGACGCGAAAGCGUGGGGAGCGAACAGG